rnacentral:lncRNA from 1 species
AGGAGGACUUGGUGGAGGUGGAGGACUAGGUGGCGGGACUGGUGGUGGAUUUGGAGCUGGUGCUGGUGCGGGUGGUGGAGCAGGAGGUGGGCUUGGUGGUGGCGCAGGAGGAGGUGGAGGGUUUGGAGGCGGUGGGGGUGCUGGCGGAGGACUAGGCGGUGGGUCAGGGUUCGGAGGAGGAGCUGGAUUCGGAGGUGGUGCUGGGACCGGGGGUGA